rfam:Ascaris suum AG00017, whole genome shotgun sequence.
UCCACAGUGGUGCAACUGGUGAAGCAAUUGCGUGGAAAGGGAAUGGUUAUGGGUUCGAAUCCCAUCUAUGGAC